GGCAGAUGGACAAUGAUCCAGUUAUGAACAAAGCGUGUUGAGAUGCAUUAUGUCCCUGCAUAUCAGAUCAGGUGAAAGGGGAGGCCACACACACCGCCACCCCACCUCACCCCAGCUGCUUCAAUUCCAGGUGCCAUGUUUACCUGAUCAGGAGGUCAUUUGUGCAAACCAGCAGAUCUGCCUUUGCAAUCUCUCCUAUAUGCUAAUGUUUUCAGCUCAAGAGUUGUCAACCCAAGUUCGUAUUUCAACAGACUCAACAGAGAAAUCCAAACACCUCUCUGUGAAGUGUUUUUGGAGUUGAUCCCCUGCUGAAAGUCUCCUCUAAGUUCUUUGCUGUUGCCCAGCCAACACCUGAGGGAUCACAAACGAACCUGGGAGUAAGUAAUUAAAAUUCAAAGCUUUAACAUUCAGAUACUUUUUACACUUUCUUUUGCUUCCAACUAGCAUUUUUUUUUCCAGGCAAGCUUUUAAUUAACAGGUGAGUUUAAUUGAUAUGUGAGUUGUUUUUAUUUUUUUUAAAUGGAAAGGAUAUCAGUGAGAAGUAAGGGAGGAAUUUUUCAUUCUCACGUUUUG
rnacentral:lncRNA from 1 species